GAUGAACGCUGGCGGCGUGCCUAAUACAUGCAAGUCGAGCGAACAGAUAAGGAGCUUGCUCCUUUGACGUUAGCGGCGGACGGGUGAGUAACACGUGGGUAACCUACCUAUAAGACUGGGAUAACUUCGGGAAACCGGAGCUAAUACCGGAUAAUAUUUCGAACCGCAUGGUUCGAUAGUGAAAGAUGGUUUUGCUAUCACUUAUAGAUGGACCCGCGCCGUAUUAGCUAGUUGGUAAGGUAACGGCUUACCAAGGCGACGAUACGUAGCCGACCUGAGAGGGUGAUCGGCCACACUGGAACUGAGACACGGUCCAGACUCCUACGGGAGGCAGCAGUAGGGAAUCUUCCGCAAAGGGCGAAAGCCUGACGGAGCAACGCCGCGUGAGUGAUGAAGGUCUUCGGAUCGUAAAACUCUGUUAUUAGGGAAGAACAUACGUGUAAGUAGCUGUGCACGUCUUGACGGUACCUAAUCAGAAAGCCACGGCUAACUACGUG
rnacentral:rRNA from 1 species